AAUGAACGCUGGCGGCAGGCCUAACACAUGCAAGUCGAGCGGAUGAAGGGAGCUUGCUCCUGGAUUCAGCGGCGGACGGGUGAGUAAUGCCUAGGAAUCUGCCUGGUAGUGGGGGAUAACGUCCGGAAACGGGCGCUAAUACCGCAUACGUCCUGAGGGAGAAAGUGGGGGAUCUUCGGACCUCACGCUAUCAGAUGAGCCUAGGUCGGAUUAGCUAGUUGGUGGGGUAAAGGCCUACCAAGGCGACGAUCCGUAACUGGUCUGAGAGGAUGAUCAGUCACACUGGAACUGAGAAACGGUCCAGACUCCUACGGGAGGCAGAAGUGGGGAAUAUUGGACAAUGGGCGAAAGCCUGAUCCAGCCAUGCCGCGUGUGUGAAGAAGGUCUUCGGAUUGUAAAGCACUUUAAGUUGGGAGGAAGGGCAGUAAGUUAAUACCUUGCUGUUUUGACGUUACCAACAGAAUAAGCACCGGCUAACUUCGUG
rnacentral:rRNA from 1 species